rnacentral:rRNA from 1 species
GACGAACGCUGGCGGCGUGCUUAACACAUGCAAGUCGAACGGAAAGGCCCUGCUUGUGUGGGGUGCUCGAGUGGCGAACGGGUGAGUAACACGUGAGUAACCUGCCCUGGACGGUGGGAUAACUUCAGGAAACUGGGGCUAAUACCGGAUAGGAGCUCCUGCUGCAGGGGGGGGGUUGGAAAGUUUCGGCGGUGGGGGAUGGACUCGCGGCUUAUCAGCUUGUUGGUGGGGUAGUGGCUUACCAAGGCUUUGACGGGUAGCCGGCCUGGGAGGGUGACCGGCCACAUUGGGACUGAGAUACGGCCCAGACUCCUACGGGAGGCAGCAGUGGGGAAUAUUGCACAAUGGGCGGAAGCCUGAUGCAGCAACGCCGCGUGCGGGAUGACGGCCUUCGGGUUGUAAACCGCUUUCGCCUGUGACGAAGCGUGAGUGACGGUAAUGGGUAAAGAAGCACCGGCUAACUACGUG